UCCCUGGUGGCUCAGCUGGUAAAGAAUCCACCUGCAAUGUGGGAGACCUGGGUUCGAUCCCUGGGUUGGGGAA
rnacentral:tRNA from 1 species